rnacentral:tRNA from 1 species
GGGGAGAUUCCAGAGCGGUCAAAUGGGACGGACUGUAACUCCGUUGCUUCGGCUUCGCAGGUUCGAAUCCUGCUCUCCCCACCA